AGCAGCCGCGGUAAUUCCAGCUCCAAUAGCGUAUAUUAAAGUUGUUGCAGUUAAAAAGCUCGUAGUUGAAUUUCGAGAUCAAAUUGUUGGUCGUGCCUUGGUACGCACUGGCAUUAUUGGUUUCUCCCUUCUGACGAACCAUGAUGUCAUUAAUUUGGUGUCUUGGGGAAUCAGGACUGUUACUUUGAAAAAAUUAGAGUGUUUAAAGCAGGCUCACGCUUGAAUACAUUAGCAUGGAAUAAUGAAAUAGGACGUUUGAUUCUAUUUUGUUGGUUUCUAGGAUCGACGUAAUGAUUAAUAGGGAUAGUUGGGGGCAUUAGUAUUCAAUUGUCAGAGGUGAAAUUCUUGGAUUUAUUGAAGACUAACUACUGCGAAAGCAUUUGCCAAGGAUGUUUUCAUUAAUCAAGAACGAAAGUUAGGGGAUCGAAGACGAUCAGAUACCGUCGUAGUCUUAACCAUAAACUAUGCCGACUAGGGAUCGGAUGAUGCUAAUUUUUUAAUGACUCAUUCGGCGCCUUAC
rnacentral:misc_RNA from 1 species